rnacentral:rRNA from 1 species
CCUACGGGAGGCAGCAGUGAGGAAUAUUGGUCAAUGGGCGAGAGCCUGAACCAGCCAAGUCGCGUGAAGGAUGAAGGAUCUAUGGUUUGUAAACUUCUUUUAUAUGGGAAUAAAGUGAGGAACGUGUUCCUUUUUGUAUGUACCAUAUGAAUAAGAAUCGGCUAACUCCGGGCCAGCAGCCGCGGUAAUACGGAGGAUGCGAGCGUUUUCCGGAUUUAUUGGGUUUAAAGGGUGCGUAGGUGGUUAAUUAAGUCAGCGGUGAAAGGUUGUGGCUCAACCAUAAAAUUGCCGUUGAAACUGGUUGACUUGAGUAUAUUUGAGGUAGGCGGAAUGCGUGGUGUAGCGGUGAAAUGCAUAGAUAUCACGCAGAACUCCGAUGGCGAAGGCAGCUUACUAAACUAUAACUGACACUGAAGCACGAAAGCGUGGGGAUCAAACAGGAUUAGAUACCCCUGUAGUC